rnacentral:rRNA from 1 species
AACGAACGCUGGCGGCAUGCCUAACACAUGCAAGUCGAACGAGACCUUCGGGUCUAGUGGCGCACGGGUGCGUAACGCGUGGGAACCUGCCCUUAGGUUCGGAAUAACUCCCCGAAAGGGGUGCUAAUACCGGAUAAUGUCUUCGGACCAAAGAUUUAUCGCCUUUGGAUGGGCCCGCGUUGGAUUAGCUAGUUGGUAGGGUAAAAGCCUACCAAGGCGACGAUCCAUAGCUGGUCUGAGAGGAUGAUCAGCCACACUGGGACUGAGACACGGCCCAGACUCCUACGGGAGGCAGCAGUGGGGAAUAUUGGACAACGGGCGAAAGCCUGAUCCAGCAAUGCCGCGUGAGUGAUGAAGGCCUUAGGGUUGUAAAGCUCUUUUACCCGGGAUGAUAAUGACAGUACCGGGAGAAUAAGCUCCGGCUAACUCCGU